UACAGAGGGUGCAAGCGUUAAUCGGACUUACUGGGCGUAAAGGGUGCGUAGGCGGGAGCUUAAGUUAGUUGUGAAAGGCCUGGGCUUAACCUAGGAACUGCAAUUAAGACUGGGCAUCUAGAGUUGAGUAGAGGGGAGCGGAAUUUCCGGUGUAGCGGUGAAAUGCGUAGAUAUCGGAAGGAACACCUGUUGCGAAGGGCGGCUCUCUGGACUCAAACUGACGCUGAGGCACGAAAGCGUGGGGAGCAAACAGG
rnacentral:rRNA from 1 species